rnacentral:rRNA from 1 species
CAGUAGCCGCGGUAAUACGUAGGGUGCAAGCGUUAAUCGGAAUUACUGGGCGUAAAGCGUGCGCAGGCGGUUCUAUAAGACAGAUGUGAAAUCCCCGGGCUCAACCUGGGAACUGCAUUUGUGACUGUAGAGCUCGAGUACGGUAGAGGGGGAUGGAAUUCCGCGUGUAGCAGUGAAAUGCGUAGAUAUGCGGAGGAACACCGAUGGCGAAGGCAAUCCCCUGGACCUGUACUGACGCUCAUGCACGAAAGCGUGGGGAGCAAACAGGAUUAGAUACCCCGGUAGUCCCUGUCUCUUAUAC